AUGCUCCAGAACACAAGUGGUUGGCUAAAGGAAUCAGGAAGAAGCGUUUGUUGUUCUAGUUGGUGUAGCCUUGCUCAGCUACUUAGGUACCGUCUGUGUGUUCCUUUCCUAGCACCAGGUAUUAUCUACUGCUGUCUGCAGAAUUCAGAUAUGGAGGGCUCAGUGGUGUCCCCUGGUCUUUGGACCAUUCUGUAUUUUAAUGAUCAUGAAGAGCACUUCUGUGACUUGCUGCAGAUUGUAAAGGAUGGAUUGAAUUGAAAUUGAUAAUAUAUGCUAAAAGGUAAGGGAUAUUUUGUAAGCUGUGCAAAUAUGGCAGUGAACAAAGAGUUAAACUCUUAUAUUAGGAUGCUUGUUUCGGUGGUCAUUUGUUUAAUCUGCAAUGGAAACCCAUCCCUUGCAAGGAAGUAGAUAUUUGUUAUUUUAUAGAGUUUUAGAGGUUACUGUUAUUAUAAUUGCUGUAUCUGUUUGACCCAUCACUGGAAACAAGAAAAAAAUAAAGUAAAAGAACCAUGUAAAUAUAAGAGUACCAAGAAUGAGUAUAGCAUAAAAAUAAAUGCAGCUCUGACAAAAGUGGCUCAAGUAUCAUACAUCAAACACUUGUUACCUCUGCCGCCUUUAGUGACUGCACAUGACUAAGAACAAAUCAGUGAUAAAAUCUUAAGAAAGAUGAAACCAGUCUGGGCCGUUGCAAAGACCAUUAGUCAUUCUACAAAGCCAUAAUAUUAUUUGUUCAAGUAAUCUUUGGCUUCCUAUUUAAUGGACAUAAUAUGUACUCCAUUCCUAGUUCAAAGCCACAAAAGGAAUUUUAAAAAAUUGGAUACGUCUUAGAGAGGACCAGUCAGACCUGAUCACAAAACAAGCUACUAAAUUAUUCAGUUUUAUUACUAAAUUUGCAUUCUAGCUGUACUUCAAUGCAAGUAUAGGGUUUAAAAUUUUUACUGUUUUAAAAGUAAUCAGAAAUAAUCAGAAAUGAAGUACCUAUACAGAAAUGAAGUACCUAUACAAUCACAAGCAUUUCCUGAUUUUUCUGAUGCCAUUUCCCUACAUAUCCAAACAUUUUCUAUUACAAGACAAAAGUCUACCUGGGUACAUCAGGAUAAACUAACUCUUAUGGAGCACACUUGCAUUUUAAAAUACAAGAGUGGAAACAGAUCCACUGGAACAAUUAUGGCUAAGCACAACCCAUUCAGGUUUGAUAGAAAUAUUAAUAUCUGUUACUAUGAAUAAGAUAAUCACAUUACAAGUGAAAAUAGUUUUAAUUGAAAUAUGGUAGUUUUGAUUUGGCACUGUAAUUAGCAUCUGUAUUUAAAACUUUGUGACUGCUGUGAACAUUAUUUAUGGAAGGUUUAUAUUAUAAUUUGGUGCUUGUUGCUUUUAUCAAAUAUUGGUGUCUAAUGAAAUAAAAUGCAAAGAACUUGGGCUUCUCAGAUUUUUAUGAGUGAUUUCUGACAAUCAUUUGCUGUACCUCCUUUUCUACACACAACCAUAAUACAAUUGUAAGAGCAGGUGAAACAAUAUAUUACAUUGCUUCUAUUUAUAUUAUCUUAAGCUGUCUUACUACAAACCUGAAAUAGAAUUUGGAUACUUAACAAGAGAAAAGCAAAUAUGCAUAUGGAUUUAGGCAAUUAUUUGAUUUCUCAUUCUAUACUGUAUAGCAUCCAUAACCAUAUUUAGUAUUUUGAUGUAGUUUAUGAAGUGGACCCAGAAUUGGAGUACCCUAUAGCAG
rnacentral:lncRNA from 1 species